rnacentral:tRNA from 1 species
AGGGUAUAGCUCAGUGGUAGAGUGCAUGCCUAGCACGCACCACGUCCUGGGUUCAAUCCCCAGUACCUCUA